rnacentral:rRNA from 1 species
CUACGGGCGGCUGCAGUGGGGAAUAUUGCACAAUGGAGGAAACUCUGAUGCAGCAACGCCGCGUGGGGGAUGACACUUUUCGGAGCGUAAACUCCUUUUAUAUAGGAAGAAGAUGACGGUACUAUAUGAAUAAGCGCCGGCUAACUCCGUGCCAGCAGCCGCGGUAAUACGGAGGGCGCAAGCGUUACUCGGAAUCACUGGGCGUAAAGAGCGUGUAGGCGGAUUAAAAAGUCAGAAGUGAAAUCCUAUAGCUUAACUAUAGAACUGCUUCUGAAACCCUUAAUCUAGAAUAUGGGAGAGGUAGAUGGAAUUUCUGGUGUAGGGGUAAAAUCCGUAGAGAUCAGAAGGAAUACCGAUUGCGAAGGCGAUCUACUAGAACAUUAUUGACGCUGAGACGCGAAAGCGUGGGGAGCAAACAGGAUUAGAUACCCUUGUAGUC